GAUACAAAAGGACGGCACCACUUACAACAAGAACACUACAACCAAUACUAUUAUUACCAAAGAUGACAACUAAUAGCCCAACGAAUACAAACUACUACCACUACUAGUGAAAUCAAAAUCAGCAUUAACGUCACCACCAUCAUUAAAGUCGGUUCCUUGUAAGUUAACAGGAAAUUCGGUUGAUUUCUAUGUAAACUGCAAAAUAUUAUAAGAUGGAUGUGUACUAGAAUAUUACUGGUAUUCGUUCUAUGGAUGUUCGCUUCCUACGACUGAUUUUUGAAUUGAAGUAUUGAAGUAAGCCUAUACAAUAAAGCCACCCACUAUCGGUUCCUGUGACAGAGUCAGCUUCCAUCGCCAACAUCAGCACACGAACACCAAGUUAAAACGACACUAUAACGACAACUGCAGGCAAUAUCAAUAAGUUACAGAAAAUAUGUAAGACAACAACAACAACAACAACAACAACACACAUACAGUAAAAAUUACAAAAGCAACAACAGAGCAACCACAAAAGUAACAUCAGACAGUUGCAAUAAAUAGCAUUGAACAAGUUUCAACAAUAACGACUACAACAACCGCAAUUAAUAGCAACUAAUAACGGCCGAUAAAGAAGGAAAAAAACAAUAAUACCGCCACCAGCAACAGAAAGACAAUAUCUUGUUUGUAUUUGACGUCUCAUCUUUACACCUGUGAAUUCAUUCAAAAAAAGAAAAAAAGAAAUUUAAAAGCCACAGGAAAGCAAGAAGAAAAGAACCCAAAGCCCUACCUGAAUCUGAUUUUGGAAGUCAGUUUUUUUUAGGAUCAAAACAAAUGAGAGAUGGCUGGUGUCCAUCCAAAAGUACGGAUCAACCAAGCAAGAGAAAUGAUGAUCUUAAAGCUGCAUCUUGAACAGCUGCAGCGAGAGAUUGCCAUAGAUCGACGUCCUCUAACCGAGACAUUGGUGGAGAUGGUGGCAUUUUGUCAGGACCAACACCACGAUGAUCCCAUCCUGAAUAGGGAUGAACCGAAAAAUAUCUACCCACCGCAUAAAAGACAACAGUUUUGUCCUUUGAUUUGAAAUGUCUUGCUCUCUUUGUCUUAAAUCAUUUGUCUUUUACUUGUUAUUGGAUUGUAGCCAUGCUGGAGCACUGGGUUUCGCUGGACAAAAUCAAUCCCAGUACUUAAAAUGUUUUCUUUAUUUGAAGCCUGGUGUUAAUUAUUCUAUCAAUCGCCUUUGCUGAAUUGCUAAGCAAACCAACACUGGCUGUCAGACGAUGGUCUUGGGAGGACAAAUAUAACCACAAAGACACCCACACAUUUACAUAUAUAGAUACACACACACACACACACACACACACACACACACACACACACACACAGAGAAAUGUAUAUAAUGGGCUUCCACACAAUUUCCAUCUAUCAAAUUUGCUCACAAAGCAUUGGUCUGCCCAAGAUGUCUCACAAUUGGACUGAACCUAUGUAAACAUAAAAUCUUUGUGUGUUAUUAGUGAGAACAUGUCUACUCACAGUCUCACUAGACAUCUUCACUCAGCUGUGGCAGCCUUAAUUUUCAGUGCAAAAAAUACAGUAAGGCUAAUCACAUGACCAUCCUCUACAGCCUUGGUUGUUUGGGAUUGUCACUAGACAUGUUCACUGAACUGUGACAGAUUUAACAUACUGUGCCAAACAUGUUGUCACACAAAGUAGUGGGAGCUUAAAUUUUCUAAACCUAAUCAAAUGGUCACCUUCAGCCAAUCAAAUCGUAUCCAAAACCAAUACUAAUUUGAGCCAUGUUGUCUCUAUAAAAGCAAGACAAUUUUUGAAUUCCAGUCAGAAGCAGGAGAGUUGCAGCAUAGCUCCAUGUUUUUCUAUCUUGACUUUUGAAAAUCAGAGAAAUUUGUGAAACUGUUUAAGUCUUCGAAAAUUUAAAAAUAAAAAAUUUAAAUGAA